GCGUCUGCCACUUUAGAGCUUAGAUGUAAAUUAAGUAUAAAUUGCAUGUCUGCUAAGAGGGACACGUGUGGCACCUACUUUUAGCAAAUGAUGUAUAUUACACUUAUAUUUAUUAUAAUCUAUAGCUGUACUUCACAACUUGCAGAUCAUCUUUCAGUUAGUAUUUGUAUAUCUUUUGAUAGUUGCUUCUACGAACUGCUCUGUGUCUUGCUUUCUUCAGUCCUCACUAUUUGUAGAAGCUACUAAAUCUGAGGAUACAACCGGCAUAGCCUGUUAAGGAGGAAAAACGGAUUCUUUCUGACAAAUAACCCCACCCAGGUUCUCUACUUCUUGUUGAUUGUUUGUCCUUAUAGUCUGGCACUCUCAUUCCAGGAAUCAGAGGAAGGCAUUCUGUCCGAUAAUGGAGUUAGAAGUUUCCGGCUUGCUUUCUCUCUUCUUUUGAAGUUGGCAGUCUCAGUCAAGAUUUAACUUUAGUUCGGGAUUUCUUUUUAAACUUGUAAAUUUCUCAGUUGUAACUUGUAAGUUCCAUAUUGUCUCUGGUAUGAGCUUUAUUAAACAUUA